GGCCUUUCCAAGAGCGCGCCACCAAACACGCCUAUUUACGUGUGUGCACGUAAUGCCACGAACUGAAGUCGCUGGAGUGAGAUCGCACGAGCAGCAGUAUAAAAUUCAUAGCCACGACCACUCUGUCAAGAGUGAACGAUUGAGAUUAAGAAGAAUGAUUUAUCUGUAAUAUAAAAAUAAAAACUAAAAGU